rnacentral:rRNA from 1 species
UUGGAGGGCAAGUCUGGUGCCAGCAGCCGCGGUAAUUCCAGCUCCAAUAGCGUAUAUUAAAGUUGUUGCAGUUAAAAAGCUCGUAGUUGAAUUUCGAGACCGGCUUACUGGUCGUGCUAUUGUACGUACUGGUAUAAUCGGUUUCUCCUUUCUGACGAACUAUAAUGCCAUUAAUUUGGUGUUAUAGGGAAUCAGGACUGUUACUUUGAAAAAAUUAGAGUGUUUAAAGCAGGCUCACGCUUGAAUACAUUAGCAUGGAAUAACGGAAUAGGACGUUUGAUUCUAUUUUGUUGGUUUCUAGGAUCGACGUAAUGAUUAAUAGGGAUAGUUGGGGGCAUUAGUAUUCAAUUGUCAGAGGUGAAAUUCUUGGAUUUAUUGAAGACUAACUACUGCGAAAGCAUUUGCCAAGGAUGUUUUCAUUAAUCAAGAACGAAAGUUAGGGGAUCGAAGACGAUCAGAUACCGUCGUAGUCUUAACCAUAAACUAUGCCGGCUAGGGAUCGGAUGAUGUUAAUUUUUUAAUGACUCAUUCGGCGCCUUACGGGAAAC